rnacentral:rRNA from 1 species
UACGUAGGGCGCAAGCGUUGUCCGGAAUUAUUGGGCGUAAAAGAGCUCGUAGGCGGCCUGUUACGUCUGCUGUGAAAUCCCGGGGCUUAACCCCGGGCCUGCAGUGGAUACGGGCAGGCUAGAGGCAGGCAGGGGGAGAACGGAAAUUCCCGGUGUAGCGGUGAAAUGCGCAGAUAUCGGGAGGAACACCGGUGGCGAAGGCGGUUCUCUGGGCCUGUACUGACGCUGAGGAGCGAAAGCGUGGGGAGCAAAACGG